AUGGGAAAGGAUUUUUCCUCAAAAUUUACAGACAUAAACUAAACAUGUUGAGCUGUGUUAUUCCUGAGCUUGAUGAAGGAAAUAUCUGUCCUACUUGUCCCAAAACUGAUGGUGUGAUCUUUGAGUCUCUUGAUGCUCUAUUUAUUGGACGAAGGAAAAAGCUGGGCAGAGUCUUGGAAAACCUCUAUUUGGACAGCUGAUGUUCUAUGAUCAGACACAUGUUGAUCAAUUUGUUGCCAAUUAUACCACACCUACAUCAAACAAGGAGUGUCAUGGUUUUCUUGCUGGGAAUGCUGUUCGAUCAAUGAAUCGCUACAGAGCUCUUGAUGAAACAGCAA